GUUUUCGGAUCGUAAAACUCUGUUGUUAGAGAAGAACGUUAAGUAGAGUGGAAAAUUACUUAAGUGACGGUAUCKAACCAGAAAGGGACGGCUAACUACGUGCCARCGGCCGCGGUAAUACGUAKGUCCCAAGCGUUGUCCGGAUUUAUUGGGCGUAAAGCGAGCGCAKGUGGUUUCUUAA
rnacentral:rRNA from 1 species